rnacentral:tRNA from 1 species
GCACCCUUAGCUCAGUGGUUAGAGCUUCACUCUUGAAUAUUGAGAUCUCAGGGUCAAUUCCUGCAGUGCACA